rnacentral:rRNA from 1 species
GACGAACGCUGGCGGCAGGCUUAACACAUGCAAGUCGAACGCCCCGCAAGGGGAGUGGCAGACGGGUGAGUAACGCGUGGGAACAUACCCUUUCCUGCGGAUUAGCUCUGGGAAACUGGAAUUAAUACCGCAUACGCCCUACGGGGGAAAGAUUUAUCGGGGAAGGAUUGGCCCGCGUUGGAUUAGCUAGUUGGUGGGGUAAAGGCCUACCAAGGCGACGAUCCAUAGCUGGUCUGAGAGGAUGAUCAGCCACAUUGGGACUGAGACACGGCCCAAACUCCUACGGGAGGCAGCAGUGGGGAAUAUUGGACAAUGGGCGCAAGCCUGAUCCAGCCAUGCCGCGUGAGUGAUGAAGGCCUUAGGGUUGUAAAGCUCUUUCACCGAUGAAGAUAAUGGCGGUAGUCGGAGAAGAAGCCCCGGCUAACUUCGUGCCAGCCGCCGCCGUAAGAC